rnacentral:rRNA from 1 species
AUGAAGAUGAAAUGGCGGGUCCUGACGUGCGCGCCGACCAACACUGCCGUCUGCCAGGUGGCGUCGCGCCUCCUGGCGCUGAGAAGGCAACACCCCGACCCCGAUGCCUGCGCUGGAACGGGCCACGGCGAUCUGCUGCUGUUCGGCAACAGGCAACGUAUGCACAUCGGCGACGAUCUCGACCACAUCUUCCUGGACACUCGUGUGAAGCUGCUAACAGAGUGCUGCUCGCCGGGGACAGGUUGGAGGCGGUGUCUUCUUUCACUGGAAGCACGUUACGAGAGAGCUGUUGCGGGACCUGAACCUUCCUGUGACGAUAGAGUUAUGGAAGAUCAAGAACUUUUGCAUCCAAAGCGCAUCAAUCAUUUUCUGCACCGUGUCUGGCUCGUCUAA